UACUGUGUGUGAUACUCUCGUGCAAGUCUGUGUGUGAGCGGGUGUACAACGGUCGUUUUACUUGCAUCAGAACAUGCCGUGCAGGAAUAGGAACAUGUGAAUUCUGGCACAGAAGAGAUGGAUUUGUUUCAGCCACUUCCUCUUUCGCGGCAAGGAAGGGGACCUCAGAGUCCUUGCCAACAUAUGGGAAUUACUUCAACAGUUGCUGAUUGCUACAAGAAGUUGAUUUCCCCCCUCUGUUGUUUAACAUGUACUGUAAUUGUAAGCAGCUCCAUGGUGGCAGCGGCCGUGAGACGAAGCGCUCCGAAAGACUGAAGCUAUUUAAGCUGUGACGGAAGAAGGACCAUCUUGUGUGACCACCGGAUCACGGGAGUGCAUGAAAAAUGAAUGAACCAGAUUCAUCACUAUGGUUCCUUUUCCAAGCAAAACAAGAGACCUGAAUUCACAUUUGAACAAUUAAAGGCGGCUUGGGUGAGAAGGGGAGUGACUCGGUGUCCCAACCUCAAUAUCUCCCCAACUGAGGAACAACAAAACCAAAACACAGGCAGCUGCAGAACAGCCCAUAGACGUGUGCAAUGAUUAGCGGGACUGGGACUCUAAGACUCGCGCUGCCUGGGACCAAUGCCAAACACUGACAAAAACACUCACUAUGUUCUCAGGGUGAGUGCAUUGACUCUUCCCCUUUUUCUUUUCUGGGAUUUAAUGAAGUUUUUUUGGUGGGGGAGGGAGAGAGAAAGAGAGAGAGAGACCUUUGAGAUUAAUGUUGAAUAGACGUAGGAGUUUGACAGCUGCUGGAGUUCUUGGCAAAGGGAGGCACAGAAAGAAAUCACGUAAGUAUCGCCCAUUUUGGUGAACUCUAUCUAUCUGUCUCCUUUCUAGUCUGGGCACCUAUUCUCAGCUCAUCCUCCUAUCUUUGGACAAUGUUGGCAAGUGUGAACUGUUUCAAAUUACGAACCUAAACAGCAGUGCCACCAAAAUACAUGGAAGUAAACGAGAUCUAUUUAAAAUGAGCCUCGUCUAUCAUGACCGGAAGUGACAUUCUGCACGUAAGGCUAUUCAGCUCUGUCCGCACAAGAUGAUGAGAGAUAGAGAUGUGUUCGCCGUCCCUUCACACAUCUUUCACCAGCUUCUGCCUAUUUGCUUCUUCCUUUCUGUCUCUCUAUCUCUAUCCGUCUUUCUCUUGCCCUCCCUCUCUCUCUCUCUCUCUCUCUCUCUCUUGCUUUCACCCUCCUGCUUUCUCUCUCACUGUCGUUUUGUCUUUUUCACUUGGCAUCAGUGCCAAAGAGGGCUGGGAGAAAGACGAGAGAGAGCGAGAGAGAGUGUAAAGACGAGGCUGCUUAGCUUGCUGACUCUUCAGCUACAGCCCCGUGGUAUGGUGCGGUUGGUGGUGAGCACAUUUCUGUGUCACUCUCUUGCUCUCCCUCUCUCUUGCGAAACGCACAGUACAGCCUAUAUAUAUGUGGGGUGGAGAGGGGCUGUGUUGCUACCCGUUCUCUUUCCCGCCCGCCAUGGCCUUCGCUCGCCUCCAGUCUUUAACUUCCACACUCAAGGUGACAGCCAAGUCGACUGCUGCUCAAGACCCACACAAGAGACACGACAGCAGUAUAGGAUACCUUCUGAGACCUCAGCGCAGUUUGACUCAUGAUAUGUAACCAUAAUGCAUAGAGGCAGAGGGGUCAAUCAUUGCACGAAUGUAUUUCAAGGCCGGGUCAUCUGAAAUACGCUGGUCUGCGUGGCUCUGGAGGCGAGAGAAGAGUGAUGCAGUGCCUUGUUGAGGUGAGGUAGUAGGUUGUAUAGUUUGGUGGGGAGAUCCUUCCCUAUUCUGGUGAUAACUAUACAGUCUAUUGCCUUCCCCGAGGGGUGCACAAGGCACAGGUCUCCAACUCAGGACACAACCUUCAAAUAUAUGGGUGAUGUUGGCAUUUCAGUUAAGACAGUGAUCUAUGCUAACUAUGCCUUUAUUUCACUAACAUUUACCUGGAAUUCAACCUGAAUGUUCUAUAUCAUGUCAGAAACAUGUCGUAGCAGGUGUCUUAUGUGAAAAGAUUCUAUGACAGAUUAUUUGUAAUGACAUAUUUUUGAUGUUGACGCUUUAUUAGCAUGUGACAUAGAAUGUUCUGACGUCUGACAUAUAGAGCUGCCAUGACACUUCCCUAUAAUGGUAACAUGACACUGUUAUGUUUCCUUCAUGGUUGAGAGUUCAUUAUCAUUAUCAAGAUAUCCUGCAUAGCUUGUUUGUCUAGUCAGUUUGUCAAGCAAUGAGACACUUCAGAAGGAUGAUUUGAAUCCAUUAUUGACAUGAAUUAGAAUUCAACAGAACACACAUUGGAUGACAGAUGCAUUUAAUAAGUAGGCAAGCAAGACGUGGUGUAACAGUUCAUAUUAUUCGGAUCAUUUUAACUGGUUAAAAAAAAAAUAAAGCUGAAAAGUGGUUCAUGAAGGGAAAAUUAUGCUUAAUAAAAUUCUUUGUUUUUUACUGA